UUAUAUACAUUUUCGAAUUGCAUUGUGGGAAGGGGAUCGCAGCUCAGACAGCGUUUGAUGGACACCGGGACAUAUUUCUUCCUCUGUUUUUUCCCUGUUGUUUGUCCGUAUUUUUCUAAACUGCCGUGCGCGGGAAGUGGCGUGACGUCCAAUCACCCACUCACUCCCUCUGCACCUGACUGGAUUAACGGUAAACGUCAGUUUGUCUGUAAGAGUGUAAAAGGUUCUUUCAUUUUGGUUAUAAGUACAUGUUACAGGUGUGUUGGUGUAAAAAUUGAUGCUGACUGAACUCAGGCAGUUGUGCUGGACCCUCUGUACCGUAUACAGGAGAUGACUGUAAACUUUCAAGUUUAAGAGGUGUGUUGGUGUAAAAAGUGAUGCUGACUGAACUCGGCAGUUGUGCUGGACCCUCUGUACCUUAUACAGGAGAUGACGGUAAACUUUGAAGUUUAAGAGGUUCUGUAAUUUUGGUUAUAAGUACAAGGUACAGGUACAUUUUCACAGCAAUCUAAAUAAAAAUCUUAAAUCUUACAUUCAAUCCAAACUGAAUUUGAAUUAAUAUGGACAAAUGAAAUAAAAUACAGCUGGGGUUUUAAAUGUUUUCAAUUUUUUUUAUUAUCCACAAAGUUUGUAAAGUAUAAAAGUAGACUAUGUGCUGCAUGUUUCAAACUGAAUGAGUGUUAUUUUUGUUGUAGGUGUGUUGGUGUAAAA
ensembl:processed_transcript